rnacentral:lncRNA from 1 species
UCCAGUUGUCUGCCUGCCGGCAAGCAGGCAUGGACAACUCAGGGAGACAGACACAUUUCUCACUGAGUUGUUUCUCUUUCUCUAUUAACAUUGCAACAGAAAUUACAAAUAGCCCUGCAAGGGGUAGUGCACCUCAUCUCUUCCUCCCAUGUAAACACAACAUUAAUACUGAAGAUAGAGAAAAUGGCAAAAAGUCCAGUGUCUUGUUUUCUGCAUUUUGCUUGUUAGGUUCCUGUUUGCCCUCCAGCAAACUCCUGUGUGUACCGAUGUUGUGAACUGGACCCGUCCACGUUCAAGCAAACACUCACUCAGAUUCCUAACACAUUCUUUCCUCCCCGUCCAAUGGGGAGUUUAUUCCUAACAGUUCUGCUCCUUUUAAUUAUAAACUCCUUUAACGAAGUAGUUCUGAGACCUUGCAGCAGGCAGCAGGAGAGCACCAAGGCUACUAGUUGCCUUUUUACUAGUUUAAAUUCACAGUUCAGCAAAGAAGUCCACUUAAAGCCUAAGGCCCAGUGCCUUCACAGAUGGGCAGCACUGAAAUGAGCCUACAAAUCAGUAUUCCCCUGGUACAAUGUGCCUUAUAGGUAAAAUCCAAUUCUUGCCUAAGAAAGAUAAAGGGUUAGAGCUGGGCCCUUUAUCUUAUCAGACACAUGUGAACAAGUUGCUCUGAUGAAAACAGAUCUUAAACUGAAAAGUUUUGUUUACAUUCUGGCAGAGCCACUGAUCUUCUUUACUGGACCACCAAAACGGAAGAUGGCAAAGAAACACAAGGGAGAUAUUUCCUUGGCAAGGAAAGGAGCAGCAUUUAGGACUGGGGCAUAGACAGGGUGGGAUAUAGGGGAUUUUCCAGAUAAAACAAUUAAUUUGAGAAAAAAAGACCAACCAAUAUCAUGUCUACAACUGAACCAGUAACACAUCUUCUCAGGAGUGCAGUAUUGUAUAAGUGUCCCCUGUGUUUUCAAGGCUAAUUCAGACCUUUGGCUCAUCCUGCAUUGACAAGGUCAUCCAUGUUAACAGGGCCCCUGUGAAAGUUCACAGGUGAAAGUUCCCUUUUAGAGUAGUGCAGAUUUGAAAUUCACAGGACAGCGAUCCGAAGAUCUUCCUUUACAGAUAAAAAGCAUGUCAAAUUAUUAAAUAGUAACAUGAAAUCCUAUAUUCUGAAGGUCUGUCUGUGCUCUGCAGCCAAGAGAGCGGAGUGCAAUCCCAGCCCCUGCCCAGUCCCCUCUUUUGGUGGCCUGGAGGGCGCCGGGCUGGCCCCACUCGCAGACACCUCACGGAUGCUAAAGCCGACAGGCCUGGGCUAGCCGGGGAAGGGAUGGAUGAGCGUAGUCCGGAGACUUCAAAUUUCUACUGUUAGAACUGCCAGGUAUGAUAUAAAAACAGGAAGGAUUUCUCAGUUUGAGGACCAGGCCCAAACGCUGAGCAGCUCUUGGCCGGUGU